GCUAGAAGUAGUACAGCCCUGCCUACAGGCUGCCAAGGAACAAAAGGAAAUCCACACUCCAAAGUGGAUCACUCCAGUACUUCUUCUGAUAGACUUUUAUGAGAAAACAGCUAUUUCCUCCAAGAGGAGAGUGCAGAUGGAUAAGUUUCUGCAGGCUAACAGCAGUAAUUGGCGUUGGUUUGAUGAUCGAUCUGGACGUUGGUGUAGCUAUAGUGCAAGCAACAAUAACACAAUUGAUACGGCCUGGAAAGCUGGGGAGACAAGUGUACGAUUCACAGCAGGCAGACGGAGAUACACAAUCCAGUUCACUACAAUGGUACAGGUAUGAUA